CUUCCCCCUUCCUGCACUUUCUCCUUUGUUGCAAAGCAAUAAAUCAUCAAACCGAGUGGGUAGAGAGUAAUGAUGAGGAAGCUCGGCCGUCUCCCUUCCGUUACUCGAAGUUGAGAUGAAUUACUUCCUGCGCCCUCUCCAUAUAUGGAAUUGUUAGGCUCACUGGUUAGGAUUUCUCUUUUGGGGCUGAAUUUGGCAAGACGGCAUCAAGGUGCCAUGGGUCACGGACAGUCGGACAUGGCCACUCGAUCGAUCUGUCUCCCCAAUUCGAUUGGCUUCGAUCAGGGCUGAGCGUGGACACCUCCGGCCUCAUGGCGCUCCAUCCUCCAUGCCCACGAGAUAGGGAAGUUGAUGCAGGUGAAGCUCCAAAUCCAGUACGCCUUCCUCGCCACGGUGAUGUUAAAACAAGGAUUGCGCCUCUAAUAUUGGUUGGGAAUUGUGAAUUUUUGAAUUAACUCAAUUCGGUGGUGGAUUGGUUCCUGUUUGGGUUUGACAGUCGACAAGCACGAGGCUAGAGGCACACAUGCGAGAUCUUCUACCUCCGACGCAGCACCACUCAUAGGGCCAUGGUGCAGCAUGCGGAUCUGCCAUCAGUUGAAAAGAUUACCCUAGGGGCCAUGUAAAUCUUGCUGGAAAAGUAGUGUUGCUACUUCCUUUCAACCAAUUUGAUGACUUCUUAUUAGUUUGAUCUUCACUAUAAAGUUCUGCAGGAGUUCAUAUGGCGUAUACAGUUCAAUUUUAGAGUUUGCAGCUCGGUUGUACGCAUUGGAUGAUCCAUUUACUCAUGCAAGCAAUCCAUGCCUAGGAGCUGCAAGAGAUUUUGAUAAUAUGCAUGUGCUUCACCGACUUUGAUAUCUAGCGGCAUGUGCAAGCACCCACCAUGACUAGCCAGCUCGCCAGACGGCGCCGCCACCUUACUUGGCAUCCCAAGGCGUGGUCCUAUCCAACGCGGCCCGAUGGCCUUCCGCACUUCCUCUACGUCGGCGGUUGCCCCCUUUUUGUGAGAUGCUUAUUUGAUCCCCUGGCAUGCACCAACCAUAUUUGCACUUUUGUAGCAGAUUGUAGUACUUAAGCAUGGACUAAAGAUACUCUAAGCAAAAAAAUGAAUUGCCAGACAGCCAUAUUUGUCACAGUACCAGCUUUGAAUAUUUCAGUUGUUGAAUUCUGAUCUAUUCCGAAACAUCUUUAUGAGUGUCCCUUUCAAAUUUUUUUCUAAGGGCACCUCAUGGUUGGUUGAUUAUGCAAAUAAAAAAAUUUCU